rnacentral:rRNA from 1 species
CCUACGGGAGGCUGCAGUGGGGAAUAUUGCACAAUGGGCGCAAGCCUGAUGCAGCCAUGCCGCGUGUGUGAAGAAGGCCUUCGGGUUGUAAAGCACUUUCAGCGGGGAGGAAGGCGGUGAGGUUAAUAACCUCAUCGAUUGACGUUACCCGCAGAAGAAGCACCGGCUAACUCCGUGCCAGCAGCUGCGGUAAUACGGAGGGUGCAAGCGUUAAUCGGAAUUACUGGGCGUAAAGCGCACGCAGGCGGUCUGUCAAGUCGGAUGUGAAAUUCCCGGGCUCAACCUGGGAACUGCAUUCGAAACUGGCAGGCUAGAGUCUUGUAGAGGGGGGUAGAAUUCCAGGUGUAGCGGUGAAAUGCGUAGAGAUCUGGAGGAAUACCGGUGGCGAAGGCGGCCCCCUGGACAAAGACUGACGCUCAGGUGCGAAAGCGUGGGGAGCAAACAGGAUUAGAUACCCGUGUAGUC